UACGGAGGGUGCAAGCGUUAUCCGGAUUCACUGGGUUUAAAGGGUGCGUAGGAGGGCAGGUAAGUCAGUGGUGAAAUCUCCGAGCUUAACUUGGAAACUGCCGUUGAUACUAUCUGUCUUGAAUAUUGUGGAGGUGAGCGGAAUAUGUCAUGUAGCGGUGAAAUGCUUAGAUAUGACAUAGAACACCAAUUGCGAAGGCAGCUCGCUACACAUAUAUUGACCCUGAGGCACGAAAGCGUGGGGAUCAAACAGG
rnacentral:rRNA from 1 species